CGGGGUGAGUAAUGUCUGGGAAACUGCCUGAUGGAGGGGGAUAACUGCUGGAAACGGUAGCUAAUACCGCAUAACGUCGCUAGACCAAAGAGGGGGACCUUCGGGCCUCUUGCCAUCGGAUGUGCCCAGAUGGGAUUAGCUAGUAGGUGGGGUAACGGCUCACCUAGGCGACGAUCCCUAGCUGGUCUGAGAGGAUGACCAGCCACACUGGAACUGAGACACGGUCCAG
rnacentral:rRNA from 1 species